GUACGGACGGCCUGUGGCCGUUAAAUCUUUCUCAAGGUUGACCUCGGAUCAGGUAGGGAUACCCGCUGAACUUAAGCAUAUCAAAAG
rnacentral:rRNA from 1 species